GCCAUGGACCAAAUACGGUCCGGAGAGCCAUAGAAGAAGAAGAAGUGAAUGUAGCCAUGAGAGGAGGGGAAAGUUUAAUACAGUACUCUUAGCACCUAACCUUACUUAUCCAACAUUACUUCAAAAUUAUUAGGGAUAACAAACAGAAAUUACUCUCAUUCAGAAAACAAGAACUAAGUUUAGUGAAACCCAGAACACAGGGUUCUUAAUUUGCUUAAGCUUGUAUCAGGAUGACUGAACAAAUCAGGCAAUACUGUUAGUAUGUAACUGUGGAGCUUUAAGCAACAGUAUUUUGAUUCAGCCUCUUUUGCAAUAGCAGUGUUUACUGAAUUUGUGUUUUGGUCAACUGUCAAAAAGGGAUCUAAUAUUUUGAAGAGGGGCAUCACUAAAUUUUUAAUAAGACAGGUCAAAAUGCCAUAUAGCAUUUAGAAAACAAUUCUUGGAGGCAAAAACAGAUGUACAGCACAGGUUUUUGUGAGGAGACAACAUAUUUCAAGAAGGCAUACAAGAUGAAUGAUCCAGCUGUUCAAAACCUUCAGAAACAACAGAAAUGUGGCGAGUGGCUCAGAAUACUGAUAUGAUUGCACAGGAACUGAACACCAAUAUUCUUUGAAAAGUUGUCACACAGCUUGUCAAAGAAUAGCCUACUUUCUUUAUGGAACCAAUCGGUUCAUCAUAGUGUUCACAAAAGCCUGUCACCGGACUCUAUCCUGAGCUAGCUGCAUCCACUUCACUCCAUCGAUUCCCACCCCCUUAAGAUUCAUGUUAACGUUACCCUCCCAUCCAUACUGAAGUCUCCCUACUGGCCUCCCAACCAAUACUCAAUAAACACCCCUCCCCUCUUCCAUGCAUGUCACAUGUCUCACCCACCUCAGAAAGUGAGGUAAACUAAUUCUUAACCUCAGCACUAGAUGGAGGUGAGUGGUCAGUGUCAUGACCUGGCCAUGCUUUACAACUGGGAAAGGACCCCGGUACCCAUUGGAUAGGAGGCUGGAUGGGCCCCAGAGGCUAGACGAAAAAUCCUCUGCCCCUAUCGGGAAUCGAACCUCGAUCGCCCAGUCCGUAGUCAGUCACUAUACUGAUUGAGUUACCCACUCACUUCAUUCUCCUCAAUUUAAUCACACCAACAAUAUCAGGUAGGAACACAGUCUGAGAAGCUCAUCAUCAUGCAAUUCUUUAAGUCCAUGUAUUGUCCUUUUGCACUCCCAUUUUCUUCCCUUCAACAACAGUAAACCAAUGUUAACCAUAAAUCUGUUCCUACCAAACAGCAGACCUUCAAAUUACAGAACAUUUGACAAGGAGACAAGCAGGCAUUGAUUAGUAGUAAAAACUACAAAACUUUACAUCCCCCAAAACUAAAAUUAUAUACCUUUCACAUAAAAGACCAACAGUAUACAUUUUAAUUUCCCUUCAUUUGAUAGCUUAGUUUAUAUAUAUUGAUUUAAUUAAGUCAAAGCUACAGCUUGCCUCUGCCACAUGGAAAUAUCUUACAUUGACCAACUUCAAUAAAACAAAGGAAAUUCAACAAUUUGCUUCUUCUAUUUUUUUCGGUUUGAUACUUUGCAUAAUGACUUAGUAGUGUGCCAUUUAAAUUUUGGAACACUAUCUCUGAUGACAACAAAAUGCUUCAUUUCUUAUCAAUGUUUUCAAGGGCAAAAUCAAUAGUCAUUCCAUAAUGGACACUGGUGGUAUUAAUGUGCCAACAAGGCCUUCAGCUAUGUGUGUUACUGCUGAAAAUGACAUGCACAGUUUUGGACAUUUCUGGCAAAACCACUGUCUCCUUAGAUAACACCAUACAGGUGUCCAACCAGGAGGGUUAACUUGAAAUAGAGCCAAUCACCUACCUAAUUAUUUUAACUUAGAUAAAGUUUGCAGCUGGGUGCACUGGACACCUGGUCUUCACAUGUGAAAAUGUAUCAUUCACUCUAGCAAAUCCAGGUAGACUUAUUAUCUAUUUGUAUGAGUUUUUUUGUAUGUAUGUUAUACCCUCCUAAAUUACAAUAAAUUUAGUUUCUCCUCAUAUACAUUUUAAAUUGAAUAUUUUGAAUCUGUAUUUAAAUUAACCCAUUACAACUUUCUAAUGUUAUCUUUGCAUCAGUAAAUAAUACAUAUUAUAUCCUGCAUACAUGUUUGGCCAGGGUGGAUAAGUAAAGUGAAUGGUGUUCAAGCGGCAGACACUGAAUCUGUGGUAAUGAAUUCAAAUCAUCACAGAGAUCAGUGUUCCCUAUUUACACACCAUCAAUCUGAAAUUAAAAGCAAUCAUCUGAUCCUGAAAGUUACUUCACUAUCACUUAUAAACUUCUUGCACCAUAAAUAUUCCCAGAGAAAAGCAUUUUCUUUACCGCAUGAGCAACCUCAUCAAAAGAAAUAACCCUCUGAUCCAUCUGGAUAUCAUAUGAUGGUAUUACAUGUCACCAUUAUGGCUGCAACUUUUCUGAAAGUGUAAUCAUUUGCUAAAACUGGCAAAUAGGUUACCAGUACAGCUUAAUGGUGAAUAAAUGCCCUAGUCAAAAAAGGACCUUCUACCAGAAGAGUACAAAAAUAAGCAUUACCAUCAAAUGCAAGUAAAACACUGAUGCACUACCCACACCUAAUAUAAUAUUAUUAUUCUGAAAUUUCCAACUUGUUAAAUUUCCUUUCAAAGGUCAUCAUUCAUCAAACAAAACUGUUGCAGAACUUAUGAAUGAUUACGUUUCUACUACACCGACUUCCAGUACUGUGAAUAUUUUAUCUUCGUGUUACUGCUUGGCACCAAGAGUUCAUUUUACUUAUUGAAAUAUAUUAUAGAUUAUUGCUGUAAGCAGCAAUUUUCUUUCUGGGAACAUUUAUUACUUAAAUACAGAUUGUCAUAUUAAAACAGUUAUUUGCACUGUUAUCAUGCUUAUAAUUUUAAAUUACCUGAACAGUUACAUAUCGUUUUAAGAACACUGCCAUACACCACUUCAGGACUCUAGAUUAGAAGCCAGUAUCACUCUUACUUCACAAGUAUGUCUGUUUUAUCUGUCAUUACUGGUUGUAAGGAAUUAAUAUGAGGUGGGUGUGACCUCCAAUGGUACAAUGUUCAUACCAAAUUUACAUGAAAAUAGCACAAGUGGUUUAGAAGUGGGUAAAAAAGGGCCAUAAACACAGACAAUACAGUGACCUUACAAGCCUACUCAUUUCCUCCUGAAAAUGAACACAUAAAAGACGCCUGUUGAAUUCAAUUAGUCCUAGUAAUGCUGUUAAGAGUACAAUGAAAGAAAAUAUUCAUUACAAUUGGCCUAAAUAAUUACUGUAAACAUGUAUUUGCAGUCAAUAGAAGUUAUUUACAAGUAAUAUGGAAGUGGAUAGAUGUCCUUCAACCUACAAUGCUCAAAUGUGAUAUGUGGAAUCUUACACAUCACUCAUUUUAUGUAAAUCUUUUAACAGAAUUAUCACUUCUUCCUCUUUAUGGAUUAGCACAUUGUCUGUUCUGGUCUGUAGUUUGCCCUCCAUAAUUUCCAGGGACCAGCAAACCAAGAUUUGCUUUGGUACUCUUUCCUCUAGCAUUAGUUCUUCGUGUGAUUUCCACAUUUCUCUGUAUUUUAUCAUUUGCUGCAUUACUGGCUCUAUGCCCAAUUCAUUUCUAAUGUCUUCAUUUAUGAAACAUUCUUGCCUUGUACUGAUUUGAUUGGCCUUAUGUUAUGCAUUUCUGCUGCUUGUAAUUUGCUUAUUUCUUUGAUUGUAAUUGUUUAUGCUUCACUAUCAUACAGUAAGAUAGGUUGUGCCACGAAUAGCCUCAAAAUUUUUUAACCUUCCGAUCUAUGUAAUGAUCCUUUUCAGAAGUCACAUCACAGCCAACAUUUGUAAACAUAAAUAAACGUGUUAUCUAAUUUAUUUAAAUCUUGUACAGAAUCACUCUUUGAAACAGACUGCUUCCUUUACUUCAACAAUCUUCUGUUACAUUUUGGUUGCUGUAUCCUUUCACCAUACAAAUAGUUUAAUAUUUAAAUUUGGAUGGAACAUUAUAGUAUGCAGUGUGGAUAUUUGGCAGCUGUGUUCCAGCUCAGCCUUUCUACUGUGUGGUCACAUCAGCUGCCAGAAGUUGCUGCAAGCCUGCCAUGAUGAAAGGAAAACAGUACUAACAGAAUUCUGUGUGAAAGAUAUGAACUUUCUGUGGCCAGGUACAUAUUAUUUAGUUUUUUCCAUAUCAAUUCAAAUAAAACCAAGCCAUAUCUGACAGAAAUAAGGUCAACAUGGGCUGAAGUCCAUUGUCAUCAACUGAUUUAACAUAUCAGUUACAAAAAUAGGUCUGGUUACUGGAUCACAUGGCUGCAAAGAGUGCACAACUGUGAUUUUAUAAGGCUAUAAUUUCAAUAAUUUUGUAGUGGUUCCUGCAAUCUCUUCUGAUACUCCUAUUUCUUGUGUAAGGCACUUAAGCUUAUAAGGUGAAUAUCAAGAUGAGCUCCAAUACUGUCAAACUUCUCUUCAGUUAAUACUUAACCGUUUCAGUUUUUCGUCUAUUAACGUGCCAGUGACAAGAUAACAUGUAUACAAGAAUACCCAAUGUUAUAGUGUAAACUUAUCCACAUUCAACACAAGGGGAACCCUGAACAGAAUAACUGCACCACAAGGAAGCAUACUACCUUUUUAUCAUUAUUGUAAACUUCCAGUAACUUCUGGCAAACUGACAUGUAGAAAGGAAGUGCCAUAGCACAACUGAUAAAUAUCCUUCCUGAAGAUGUACUGAAUCAUAUUUACUUUAGGAUUUUUAACAAAACUUAGAAUAUCACAUGUCAAGAAAAGCUGUGGUGAUCACCAUAAAUCUAAAAUAUUUUGCAUGGGCACCAUGGUAAUUUGCUUUACCUAUGAAACUAGCAGAGUUAAAAUGUGUUUAAGUGAAAAAAAAGGCUCAUUAUCACACAUAAUAAUCAAAAGCAGAGACAAUAUGACUUCAGUUAAAAAUAAGGAGACUAGAACUGAGUAAAAUAUAUUACCUUGUGAUCUAGGUUGAUGCCAUUUUAGUUGGGCAACAACAUAAAUGUCACAGAGAAAACCUAGAAACCAUCAAGUUCUAAAAGUAAAGAUAAAGAAAACCAACAUGUUCAUAUCUCAUCAAGAGAAUUCUGGCCAAAAUCAUGAUACAAGAACAGCUAAUAAAUCCACUUAAAAUGUGAGAGCUGAAAACUGAAAACAAGAACUGGCCAAUUAGUAAUGCCUUCAAUACUGAUGUCUAUAGUUAAAUAAAUUUUGGUUUAAAGCAGUUGAAUAUGUCAUCACUUCUUCAUUUAUGUUGUUUUAGUUCACAACAGCAUGGUGUUGAUGGCCAGUGAGUGAUACAAUGUGUCAAAAAUAUUAACAUUAGACACAACUAAAUUAACAUUUUACAUAAAUGUCUAUAACUCUCAUCAUUUGAGGUUAAACUCUAUUAUGGAAAAUUAUAAACUCACAAAACCAUAUCACGGAAUAUCUACCACAAAAAGUAGAAAUGACUGCAAUUACUAUACUUUCAGAAGCCUCAAUUUUUCUCCCCUUUCCAUCCCCAAAUAAAUUGAGACAAAAUAAUACUUAAGUAAAAUUGAAUGUGUGGGAAUGAAAAGGACGUCAGUAUUUCUUCAAAAUGACAAUUUUUAUAAUUGUUCUGUAAGUGCAUAUAUUAACAACAAACCACCUACUAUCAUCCUUAGCUUUAGCACGCUAAAAAUUCAUGCAGUUCAGAAUUUGUUGAAUUUCAUGCAAUACCUACAGCUCCCACACAUAUCAGCAUAAGAGUUUACUUUCAUCACCUCUGGGUAUAUACAUUUCAUUUGGAGUAGUAAAUACCCUAAAAAUACCAUUUUUAUUAAUGAAGGGCAAGGUAAGGCAGAACCCAAUGAAAUAUGUUCCUUAUUAUUGGAUUGCAUCAAAAACCACAUAUCAAACUCUCAAUAAACUAAUUUUUUUAGACAUCUGUCCUGGUCAGAACAAAAACCACAUUGCUGCUAGAUUCUUUGCAAUAUCAAUUGCUAAUGGGAGGUUCAACAAAAUACUUCAAUACUUUCAUGUCCAACACUCUUACAUCAUGUGACAGACACUUUGGACUCACUAAAACAGUUCUGCAUAAAUAAAUAGGGUAAGAAUAUUAAAGUAUGAAUGAGCAAUAAAGUAGAAAGAGGGUGUUUUCAAAACAUGUGCAACAACUUCAGCACAGUGGUGGCCAAAAUCCUACAAAGCACAGUCCUAUGGCAAAGCUGCUUCUAGAGCCCAAAAAGUUAAUUUUUUGAUUUCACAAUAUUACAUGUGUGAAUACAGCUCUUUAAGAUCAUCAUCACAGAUUUUAUGGACGGCUUCAUCAUAACAAUUCCAGGUUUCUCUCUAUCCCAAAUAAAAACUACUUCCCAAAUGGCAACAGCCUAAUAAACAUGAAAAAUAUAACAUAAAAGAGGCUAUGAAGAACACUGAACACAAUCAAUUAAGACUUUUACACUUAUAGCGAUCUGAAAUGUAAAUUAAAAACUUGUUCACUGUCAUAAUGAGAAAUAAUCUUCCCUCUCAACCACUUACAUUUGCAGAAAGUGUGAAAAGGGCAUACUUAAAAACAAUAAUAUAUAUCACGCACAAGACUAUUAACACAAAAGUCAUAGUUACAGAAUUCAAAUAUUGAUAUUGCUAAUUAUGGCUUCAGUGUUUUACACAAUUUUUUAAUUCUCUGAAACAUAAACAGUUUCUUCCAUUUUGUCAAAAGUUUGCUAAUGUGACGUGCCCUUUUCAUUUCCCCACACGUUCAAUUACACUAGAAAUAUCAUAUAUUCACAAAUUUGUUUCCUCAAGAUUUUAGGAAAAUUCCGCUUAAAUUAAUACAAAUGUAUGUAUUCUCGUGCCAAGGUAAAGAAUGAGUACGAGCUAUGCCACCUCUCCACAAGCGGGACUGCUUUACUUUUUGCUGUUCCUGCCAAAUCUUCAGAGAGCAAGUGUUCUAAUACAAACUUAAAUUGAGAAAUUCAAAGUACCUACAAACAAAGCAGAAGUGUGUAAGCAGAUACUGAAGAUAAUAAAAGUCUGAAAAGGAAACAAAUAAAAUGCAUCCCAAAGAAUUUAGAAUACUACAAGAAGAAUGACAGAACUGCGUAACAGGUACAUGGUUAUGGGCAACAUUCAAAAGUUCUUAAAAUGUGCUAUAAAUGUGAACUAUGUGGUAUUUUCUGCAGCUCUACCUGCACUGUGGAUGCAAGUUAAUACAUAUAGGACAAAGCUUUCAUGGUGACCGAACUCAAUAUAAUCCUCUUAGGCAACAAGCUGUGUUCAGUUCUGGACAGAAGACCAUUCUACUGUUGAUGGAGGCAGAGGAGGUCUCCAAAGGCUUUUGUCCAGAGUAACACAGCUUGUUGCCCGAUAGGAUUUUAUUGAAGAUAGACAUAGGGAAGGAAACAAGACAUACCUAUAUUACUUCAUUGCCUAGGAUGAAGGAAAGCAGAGGAAGGAGGAAAUAAAAUUGGUGCAGUAAAGAUAUACACAAACAGAAGCAAAUUUUAUGAAAUAUUUAUGUAUAUAUCCAUUUCCAUAGUGCAGAAUGAUCCAAGCAUAAAUUGAAUAUCAAUAACUUGUUCUGUAUCAAUGACCAAACACCCACGCAGCUCAAAAUAUUUUGCCUCCCUAUCUGCUAUCUUGGAUAAUUACAUCAUGGUGAGUGAGAAGACACAUAGCAUGUAUGGAGAGAUAAAUGAAUGUAAAAUUCUUGUUGGAUGAGUGCAGGAAAGAAACCUCUUGUAAAACCAAGGAUAAAUAUGUGUGCAAUAUUAAAAAUUUAUAUCAGGGAAACAGGGCCAAGCAUAGUUUUCCUUAGUCCCUCCAGGCAAAUUCUAGGAUAAUAGAUCAAAUUAGGCCAUGGCAACUUCCUUCAGCAUUCUUUCCAAUUCACUUUUCACUACCAUCCUCUCAUUUGAUGCAACAGCCUGAGCAACUGAAACCAUGCUCAAAUAUAAUUAAAUACCAAAAUUCUGCUUCAAACAAACUUUCACAUUUGAUUCCAGUAAUUCAAUUUCAGGCGUAACAGGAAAUUAGGAAAAUAUUUAAAAACAGGAAACAUUCAUGGACAUUAGAUAUAUUUUACAAACCAGCUGAACAUUAAGCAAGAGUCUGUAAAGUAGUUAUGAUCUUACAAUAUGCUUCAUAUUAAUAUUUUUUUAAUAUUUACCAAUAUAAACUGAUCACAGAAAAAGUGGGCAAACAUAUUUAUAAAACCUUGGUUGUAGUAAACUAAUAAAAAAACAUAAUUGUAAUACUGUACAUAGCAACUGCAAUUAAAAUAAAAAUGCUGUUAUAAAAUGGCACCCAAGGUGAAAUGUAUCUUACAAUGCAAGAUGUCCCAUAAUUAUAAUGCUCAAUUUCGUAAUUCUGAUACUUAGAUAUAAAGUUUAUGCAAUGCUUACAGUUUACAAUCCAUUUUAAUAAUUCAUUCAUAUCCAAUUAGAUCUAGACUGUUGAAACUCUUUGUACUGGAUGACUUCCAUUACUUGUAUAUUAUCUAAAUAAAACAUCUACAAGUGUGAGUCACA